rnacentral:rRNA from 1 species
UUUAACGGCCGCGGUAUACUGACCGUGCAAAGGUAGCAUAAUCAUUAGUCUUUUAAUAGAGGGCUGGAAUGAAAGGUUUAACGAGGGAUUAACUGGCUCAUUUUAUUUGUUUUAAAAAUUAAUUUUUUAGUUAAAAAGCUAAAAUUUUAUUGGAAGACGAGAAGACCCUAUAGAUCUUUAUAUGAAUAUAAUUAGUUAUUUUUAUAUAAAUAUAAUUAUUUGUAUUUUUAUUUUGUUGGGGUGACAAAAAUAUAAAAUUAACUUUUUUAUUUAUAUAACAUUGAUUUAUGAAUGUAUGAUCCAUUAUUAGUGAUUAUUAGACUAAGUUACCUUAGGGAUAACAGCGUAAUCCUCCUCCAGAGUUCAUAUUUACAGGAUGGGCUUGCGACCUCGAUGUUGGAUUAAGAUAAUAAUUAGGUGUAGCUGCUUAAUUUAUAGGUCUGUUCGACCUUUAA